UUGACUGGUGAUGGCACCUGCGAUGGAGGAGAUGACACGACAGAGGAAGGGAGCGAUGCCUGAAACUGAAGGGCCAUUUUUGCUGUGCUGUCAGGUGAAGCAUGACAUCCUUCCUGUUAAGACAAUUUAGAAGCACUUGCUUCUCCGGCUACGAUAACAUCGUUGUUCUCUGUAACAACCCCGGUACACACGCUUCCUAAGCCCUCU